UACGUAGGGUGCAAGCGUUAAUCGGAAUUACUGGGCGUAAAGCGUGCGCAGGCGGUUUUUUAAGUCUGUUGUGAAAUCCCCGGGCUUAACCUGGGAAUGGCGAUGGAGACUGCCAGGCUAGAGUUUGGCAGAGGGGGGUAGAAUUCCACGUGUAGCAGUGAAAUGCGUAGAGAUGUGGAGGAACACCGAUGGCGAAGGCAGCCCCCUGGGUCAAAACUGACGCUCAUGCACGAAAGCGUGGGGAGCAAACAGG
rnacentral:rRNA from 1 species